GAUGAACGCUGGCGGCGUGCUUAACACAUGCAAAUCGAGCGAGAAGUUUUGAAAAGUUCCUUCGGAUGAAAUUUAAAAUGGAAAGCGGCGGACGGGUGAGUAACGCGUAGGCAACCUGCCCCAUACAAAGGGAUAGCAUUUGGAAACGAAUAUUAAUACCUUAUGAAACUUAACUAGUGCAUGCUAGGUAGGUCAAAGAUUUAUCGGUAUGGGAUGGGCCUGCGUCUGAUUAGCUAGUUGGUGAGGUAACGGCUCACCAAGGCGACGAUCAGUAGCCGACCUGAGAGGGUGAACGGCCACAUUGGAACUGAGACACGGUCCAAACUCCUACGGGAGGCAGCAGUGGGGAAUAUUGCACAAUGGGGGAAACCCUGAUGCAGCAACGCCGCGUGAACGAUGAAGGCCUUUGGGUCGUAAAGUUCUGUUCUAGGUGAUGAAAACUGACAGUAACCUAGGAGAAAGCCCCGGCUAACUCCGUG
rnacentral:rRNA from 1 species